AUACUUACCUGGCAGGGGAGAUACCAUGAUCAUGAAGGCUGUUUUCCCAGGGCGAGGCUUAUCCAUUACACUCCAGAUGUGCUGACCCCUGAGAUUUUUCCAAAUGUGGGAAGCUCAACUGUAUAAUUUGUGGUAGUGGAAGACUGCAUUUGUGCUCUCCCCUA
rnacentral:snRNA from 1 species